AUUGAACGCUGGCGGCAUGCCUAACACAUGCAAGUCGAACGGCAGCACAGCAGUAGCAAUACUGUGGGUGGCGAGUGGCGGACGGGUGAGGAAUACGUCGGAAUCUGCCCAGUCGUGGGGGAUAACUAGCCGAAAGGUUAGCUAAUACCGCAUACGACCGAGAGGUGAAAGCGGGGGACCGCAAGGCCUCGCGCGAUUGGAUGAGCCGACGUCGGAUUAGCUAGUUGGCGGGUAAAGGCCCACCAAGGCGACGAUCCGUAGCUGGUCUGAGAGGAUGAUCCGCCACACUGGAACUGAGACACGGUCCAGACUCCUACGGGAGGCAGCAGUGGGGAAUUUUGGACAAUGGGGGCAACCCUGAUCCAGCCAUGCCGCGUGAGUGAAGAAGGCCUCGGUUGUAAG
rnacentral:rRNA from 1 species